rnacentral:rRNA from 1 species
CACGUAUGGGGCAAGCGUUGUUCGGAAUCACUGGGCGUAAAGGGCGUGUAGGCGGUUCGAAAAGCCCGGCGUGAAAGGUAUCGGCUUAACCGAUAGACUGCGCUGGGAACUGCCGGACUGGAGUCAUGGAGGGGGAGCUGGAAUUCCAGGUGUAGGGGUGAAAUCUGUAGAGAUCUGGAAGAACACCGGUGGCGAAGGCGAGUUUCUGGCCAAUGACUGACGCUGAGGCGCGAAAGCGCGGGGAGCAAACAGG